rnacentral:rRNA from 1 species
GAUGAACGCUGGCGGCGUGCCUAAUACAUGCAAGUCGAGCGAACAGACGAGGAGCUUGCUCCUCUGACGUUAGCGGCGGACGGGUGAGUAACACGUGGAUAACCUACCUAUAAGACUGGGAUAACUUCGGGAAACCGGAGCUAAUACCGGAUAAUAUAUUGAACCGCAUGGUUCAAUAGUGAAAGACGGUUUUGCUGUCACUUAUAGAUGGAUCCGCGCCGCAUUAGCUAGUUGGUAAGGUAACGGCUUACCAAGGCAACGAUGCGUAGCCGACCUGAGAGGAUGAUCGGCCACACUGGAACUGAGACACGGUCCAGACUCCUACGGGAGGCAGCAGUAGGGAAUCUUCCACAAUGGGCGAAAGCCUGACGGAGCAACGCCGCGUGAGUGAUGAAGGUCUUCGGAUCGUAAAACUCUGUUAUUAGGGAAGAACAGAUGUGUAAUUAACUAUGCACGUCUUGACGGUACCUAAUCAGAAAGCCACGGCUAACUACGUG